GGCCUAUUAGCUCAGUUGGUUAGAGCAUCGUGCUAAUAACGCGAAGGUCGCAAGUUCCAGACUUGGAUGUGCAA
rnacentral:tRNA from 1 species